rnacentral:rRNA from 1 species
CCUACGGGAGGCAGCAGUGAGGAAUAUUGGUCAAUGGGCGGGAGCCUGAACCAGCCAAGUCGCGUGGGGGACGACGGUCCUAUGGAUUGUAAACCUCUUUUGUCGGGGAACAAAGGCGCCCACGGGUGGGCGGAUGAGUGUACCCGAAGAAAAAGCAUCGGCUAAUUCCGUGCCAGCAGCCGCGGUAAUACGGAGGAUGCGAGCGUUAUCCGGAUUUAUUGGGUUUAAAGGGUGCGUAGGCGGACAGUCAAGUCAGCGGUAAAAAUGCGGUGCUCAACGCCGUGCAUCCGUUGAAACUGGGAGACUUGAGUGGGCGAGAAGUGUGUGGAAUGCGGGGUGUAGCGGUGAAAUGCGUAGAUAUCACGAAGAACUCCGAUGGCGAAGGCAGCAGACCGGCGCCCGACUGACGCUGAGGCACGAAAGCGUGGGUAUCGAACAGGAUUAGAUACCCGAGUAGUC